UGGGGAAUAUUGCACAAUGGGCGGAAGCCUGAUGCAGCGACGCCGCGUGGGGGAUGAAGGCCUUCGGGUUGUAAACUCCUUUCGACAGGGACGAAGCUUUUGUGACGGUACCUGUAUAAGAAGCACUGGCUAACUACGUGCCAGCAGCCGCGGUAAUACGUAGGGUGCGAGCGUUGUCCGGAAUUACUGGGCGUAAAGAGCUCGUAGGUGGUUUGUCGCGUCGUCUGUGAAAUUCCGGGGCUUAACUCCGGGCGUGCAGGCGAUACGGGCUGACUUGAGUGCUGUAGGGGAGACUGGAAUUCCUGGUGUAGCGGUGAACUGCGCAGAUAUCAGGAGGAACACCGAUGGCGAAGGCAGGUCUCUGGGCAGUAACUGACGCUGAGGAGCGAAAGCAGGGGUAGCGAACAGG
rnacentral:rRNA from 1 species